GCGGAGGAAAAGAAACCAACAGGGAUUGCCUCAGUAACGGCGAGUGAAGCGGCAAGAGCUCAAAUUUGAAAUCUGGUUCCUUCGGGGCCCGAGUUGUAAUUUGGAGAGGAUGCUUCGGGCGUGGCCCCCAUCUAAGUGCCCUGGAACGGGCCGUCAUAGAGGGUGAGAAUCCCGUCUGGGAUGGGUGGUCCCGCCCGUGUGAAGCUCCUUCGAAGAGUCGAGUUGUUUGGGAAUGCAGCUCUAAGAGGGUGGUAAAUUUCAUCUAAAGCUAAAUAUUGGCCGGAGACCGAUAGCGCACAAGUAGAGUGAUCGAAAGAUGAAAAGCACUUUGAAAAGAGAGUUAAACAGCACGUGAAAUUGUUGAAAGGGAAGCGUUGGCAACCAGACUCGCCCGGGAGGGCUCAGCCGGCACGUGUGCCGGUGCACUCCCCCCCGGGCGGGCCAGCGUCGGUUUGGGCGGUCACUAAAAGGUCCCGGGAAUGUAGCACCCUCCGGGGUGCCUUAUAGCCCGGGGCGCCAUGCGACCUGCCCGGACCGAGGAACGCGCUCCGGCUCGGACGCUGGCGUAAUGGUUGUCAACGGCCCGUCUUGA
rnacentral:rRNA from 1 species